ACGUAGGAGGCGAGCGUUAUCCGGAUUUACUGGGCGUAAAGCGCGUGCAGGCGGUGCGAUAAGUCGUGCGUGAAAGCUCCCAGGCUUAACCGGGCGAGGACGUGCGGAACUGCUGAACUAGAGGCAGGUAGAGGCGUGUGGAAUUCCGGGUGUAGUGGUGAAAUGCGUAGAGAUCCGGAGGAACACCAGAGGCGAAGGCGACACCCUGGGCCGUACCUGACGCUAAGACGCGACAGCACGGGGAGCGAACGG
rnacentral:rRNA from 1 species